UACGGAGGGUGCGAGCGUUGUCCGGAAUCAUUGGGCGUAAAGGGCGCGUAGGUGGCUUCUUAAGCGUGCGGUGAAAGCCUGGGGCUCAACCCCGGGUCGGCCGUGCGAACUGGGGGGCUGGAGCACUGUAGAGGCAGGCGGAAUUCCGGGUGUAGCGGUGGAAUGCGUAGAGAUCCGGAAGAACACCGGUGGCGAAGGCGGCCUGCCGGGCAGUUGCUGACACUGAGGCGCGACAGCGUGGGGAGCAAACAGG
rnacentral:rRNA from 1 species